UCCAAUAUCUAUAGUUGCCUCUGAGUCGGCUUUUAGCACAGCAUGUCGAGUACUUGAUCCUUUCCGCAGUAGCCUAUCUCCACUUAUGGUUGAAGCCCUUAUCCGUACACAAAAUUGGCUUCACUCAUCUUCUGCCCCGUUAAACAUUCGCACUUUAAUGGAUGAUGUUGAGUAGUUUGAGAAAUUUGAUACAGAGCUCAUGGAAGACUUAGGGAGUUCUUCAAGACCUACUUCUUUGAUUGGAGAUGAUUAAAUUUAAGGUUUGUUGAAUGGACUAUUGGAGUUGGUGGCUACGUGCAUAGCUAUUAUUAUUAGUUACUUGUUCUAGUUGUAAAGUUUUUUAUUGGAU